rnacentral:pre_miRNA from 1 species
AUAUUACUCCCUCCGUUCGGAAUUACUUGUCGCAAAAAUGGAUGUAUCUAGACAUAUUUUAGUUCUAGAUACAUCCAUUUCCGAGACAAGUAAUUCCGAACGGAGGGAGUAUACA